AUUCACAAAGGAGUUUGGAGAGGAGGGCUGAUUACUUUUAGGAUAAGAAAAGGCCUUCACUAAUCACAUAAACAGAUAAUACAAUGUAUAUUGUUAAGUGUGUGUGUAUGUAUAUAUAACUGCUCAGCCACAUGUAAAAUCUUCAUAUCUUCAAUUAGAUGGGACAACACCAGCAGUUAAUGUUUUCCACCGCAAAGAAAUAUCGCAUAUCUAAAUGAAUGAGUAAAUUUCAAAGUAGUCCAAUGCACAAAGUUAAUGUUUUAAAUUAACAGAACACACGCACACACUUCCUUUGGGGGAGGUGGGCUAGUUUCAGAAAAAGAGUAUCCUUCAACUUAGCAGUCAGAAUUUGUAAAAAAGGGUAAUAUAGCAUAAUCAAUGGAAAGUAGUCGUGUCAAUUUAACAAUUUCAAUUAUGCUGCUUCUACAGUAAGAAGCUGGUAGAGAUAACGAGUACAUUUGUAUGAACUAGGAAUUUCAGAAUAUGAGAUUUGGGUAGCUUGUUUGAAAAAUAAUCCACCCUCUCAUCUUUAACUCUCAGGCUGCCAUUCUCGGACGACCCCUGCUGUAUUUUGGAGGGUUGGCCUUGGCAACAUCAACAACUAUCAUCCAACCAUUAAUAAUCUUGCCAUUCAUCUCUUUGAGUGCCGCACUUGCAGCCUCCUCGGUGGUGUACUCUACAAAUGCAUAACCCUUCGACCUUUUAGAGAUCUUGUCCAUUAUUAUCUUAACUGUCAAGAUUAGCAUUCCAUUAGUAAAAGCAUACUGAGCUCAGCAUUGUUAUAAAAGUGAAGUACUUGCGUUGACUGCAAAAUGUACCUUCAACAAGCUCACCAAAGCUCUCGAAUGCUGCUCGUAAAGUCUUUUCAGAAGUAUAAAACGACAGGCCUGUUGUAAGGAUCCCCAAGCACUUACCACCACUUAAUAAAAAGAUAAUCUAUUUAUUUAUUUAUUUAUUUGGGUUUGGUUUGUUUGGUCUUGAUUUCAAUUUUCAAGCUUCUGGCAUUGUUUGGUUUCUGAGAAAAUGUGGAGAACAGAAAAAGAGCUAUGAUUUUUAGCUUUUCAAUUAAGUUUUAGCUACCAAAUGGAAUGAUUGGGAUUAGUUGAAAUUGUCCGUGAAUGCAUUUUUAGUUAUUGCAAAUUUGUGCUUUUUUUUGCCCUUUACCUACUUUUUCUUUUUGAAGUAUUUUCUUGUUGUGCGUUUCGUGUUUCUCUACUUAUUGCUGUGUUGCUAUUGAUUUAUGUUUUGGCUUUAAUUGUUUGGUUUUAAUUGCUAAAUCUAUAUUGGCGGAUGUUUAGCGGUGGCUUAGAAUUGUAUUGGGAUGGGGCUUUGCAUUUUCCCCUGAAAGUAGAGGAAGAUUUGAUGGCAAUAAUAGUUUGCUUGAAUUUUCUAUGAAACUUGUUAAAAUUCCGUUAUAACUAUCCUACAACAUGAGAGCAAAAUCAUUAACUUAGAUGCAAUCUUCUUUGUUAGUCAACUAUUCUUUACUCCAUUUGGUAUUCUUGAAAGUCUCAAGGAUCCAAUUCCUAUUUUUGUAUUGACUCGACUACACAAUUUUUAAAUAAUUGGAGAAUUUUCUUCUUUUCAUAUUGGGAGUAAGCCUGUUGCUAGAGGGAAUGAUUACUCAGAAAUACUAAGAACGUGGAAUGACAUGCAGGAUUUAUAUGCACUGAACUUUGCAAACUAACCUCUAAUGUACUUGGAAAAUGUCCUAAAAAUGAAAUGAUGGCAGUGGACCUUUUUCCCCUGUUUUUUAAAUGUCAAAUAAUGUAUGCCAUUAAUUUGAUAGUCUAAGUUUUGUAAAUUGUGUGGCGGAAUGAAAGGAUUUGGAUGGGAAAAGUUUAAAACUUUAAAUUCCUUGAACGAGAUUUAGCAUGCAUAUAUAUAUAUUUCCAGCUUUCUUUAAUUGCCUAGAUUCAUGAAUGGAAAUUAGGUCAUGGAUAUGGAUGAAAAUUUGAUUGAGGAUGAAUUUGAAAUACAGGUUAAAAAAAGGGUGCAAUUUCAAAUGCACUCUAUAAGAUUAGGUCAAAGCUUGUUUUUCCCCUCUUUAGAAGUUAAAAAUACAAGGUUAGGUCAAAGCAUGUUUUUCGCCUCUUCUUUAGAAGUUAGCUAUUUAAUAUUUAUACAAUUUGAGCUAAAAGCUUAUAUUCAAAUCCAGGGAUUUUAACUUCCAUCUGGAAGUAAAUUUAAGAAUAUUAUCAUCUUGUUUGUCCCUGUGAACAAAAGUAGCAGCUAGUAGGGAAUGCUAUCAGCAUACAUGCACAUGCAUGCAAGCAUGCAGAAACAUGUUUUCUUCCUAUCUAUUUAUAUUGCAGCUAGGCACUUUUUGCUGCUUUUAUGUCUAUAUUAUUUUCUUUCAAUUUGUUGGUGUAUCAUGAUAUACAUUUAUAAUUUAAAGUGUGGAUGUUUUUUCACAGAUGGACUUCAAUCAUAUCUUCA
rnacentral:misc_RNA from 1 species